GACGAACGCUGGCGGCGUGCUUAACACAUGCAAGUCGAACGGAAAGGCCCUGCUUGCAGGGUCCUCGAGUGGCGAACGGGUGAGUAACACGUGGGUGAUCUGCCCUGCACUUCGGGAUAAGCUUGGGAAACUGGGUCUAAUACCGGAUAGGAACCAUCUUUAGUGUGGUGGUUGGAAAGUUUUUUCGGUGUAGGAUGAGCUCGCGGCCUAUCAGCUUGUUGGUGGGGUAAUGGCCUACCAAGGCGGCGACGGGUAGCCGGCCUGAGAGGGUGUACGGCCACAUUGGGCCUGGGAUACGGGCCAGACUCCUGCGGGAGGCAGCAGUGGGGAAUAUUGCACAAUGGGCGCAAGCCGGAUGCAGCGACGCGGCGUGGGGGAUGAAGGCCUUCGGGUUGUAAACUCCUUUCGCUAGGGACGAAGCUUUGUUGUGACGGUACCUAGAUAAGAAGCACCGGCUAACUCCGUG
rnacentral:rRNA from 1 species